rnacentral:rRNA from 1 species
UUGAUCCUGGCUCAGGAUGAACGCUAGCGGCAGGCUUAACACAUGCAAGUNNNNNNGUAACAGGGAUUGCUUGCAAUCCGCUGACGACCGGCGCACGGGUGCGUAACGCGUAUGCAACCUACCUUUUACUGGGGGAUAGUCAAGAGAAAUUUUGAAUAAUACCCCAUACGAUCCAAUUCACUCCUGUGAGAUGGAAGAAAGCUUNNNNNNNNNNNNAUGGGCAUGCGUCCUAUUAGUUUGUUGGUGAGGUAACGGCUUACCAAGACUUCGAUAGGUAGGGGUCCUGAGAGGGAGAUCCCCCACACUGGUACUGAGACACGGACCAGACUCCUACGGGAGGCAGCAGUGAGGAAUAUUGGACAAUGGAGGCAACUCUGAUCCAGCCAUGCCGCGUGCAGGAAGACGGCCCUAUGGGUUGUAAACUGCUUUUAUACAGGAAGAAACGUUAGUACGUGUACUAACCUGACGGUACUGUAAGAAUAAGGAUCGGCUAACUCCGUGCCAGCAGCCGCGGUAAUACGGAGGAUCCAAGCGUUAUCCGGAAUUAUUGGGUUUAAAGGGUCCGCAGGCUGUUUGUUAAGUCAGAGGUGAAAUCCUACCGCUCAACGGUAGAACUGCCUUUGAUACUGGCAAACUUGAGUUAUUGUGAAGUAGUUAGAAUGUGUAGUGUAGCGGUGAAAUGCAUAGAUAUUACACAGAAUACCGAUUGCGAAAGCAGAUUACUAACAAUAUACUGACGCUGAGGGACGAAAGCGUGGGUAGCGAACAGGAUUAGAUACCCUGGUAGUCCACGCCGUAAACGAUGGUCACUAGCUGUUUGAUGUACAUUGGUACAUUGAGUGGCUAAGCGAAAGUGAUAAGUGACCCACCUGGGGAGUACGCUCGCAAGAGUGAAACUCAAAGGAAUUGACGGGGGCCCGCACAAGCGGUGGAGCAUGUGGUUUAAUUCGAUGAUACGCGAGGAACCUUACCAGGACUUAAAUGUAAGUUGCAUGAUUCAGAAAUGGAUCUUUCUUCGGACUACUUACAAGGUGCUGCAUGGUUGUCGUCAGCUCGUGCCGUGAGGUGUCAGGUUAAGUCCUAUAACGAGCGCAACCCCUAUCGUUAGUUGCCAUCAAGUAAAGUUGGGAACUCUAGCGAAACUGCCGGUGCAAACCGUGAGGAAGGUGGGGAUGACGUCAAAUCAUCACGGCCCUUACGUUCUGGGCUACACACGUGCUACAAUGGCCGGUACAGAAAGCAGCCACUAUGCGAAUAGGAGCUAAUCUUCAAAGCCGGUCUCAGUUCGGAUCGCAGUCUGCAACUCGACUGCGUGAAGCUGGAAUCGCUAGUAAUCGGAUAUCAGCCAUGAUCCGGUGAAUACGUUCCCGGGCCUUGUACACACCGCCCGUCAAGCCAUGGAAGCUGGGGGUACCUGAAGUCGGUGACCGAAAGGAGCUGCCUAGGGUAAAACUGGUGACUGGGGUUAAGUCGUAACAAGGUAGCCGUACCGGAAGGUGCGGC